AUAUGUAUUGGCCAUGAGUUUGGUGCCAUCUAAGAGAUGUUUCUAUCACAGCUGCUGCAAGAAGGAAGGAGAAGCCGCUACUUUGCUGAGGUGUUGAUCACGAAAUGUUCAUUUUGAGUAAGGCAAGAUCUAAUGAAAGUAGUGAAUAUUGCAUACUGGAUUGCCACUUAGCAUUUUUAAUUUGUUGGUUCAAAUAUUGAGGAAUGUUAUAUUCAAGGAUUUGAUAUAUGAAAACUGUUUUGGAUUAAAUAUUCAGCUAAAUAAAGAGGAUUUUCUUUUAAAGAAAGCAA